rnacentral:rRNA from 1 species
AACGAACGCUGGCGGCAUGCCUAACACAUGCAAGUCGAACGAGACCUUCGGGUCUAGUGGCGCACGGGUGCGUAACGCGUGGGAAUCUGCCCUUAGGUUCGGAAUAACUUCGGGAAACUGAAGCUAAUACCGGAUGAUGACGUAAGUCCAAAGAUUUAUCGCCUAAGGAUGAGCCCGUGUAGGAUUAGCUAGUUGGUGAGGUAAAGGCUCACCAAGGCGACGAUCCUUAGCUGGUCUGAGAGGAUGAUCAGCCACACUGGGACUGAGACACGGCCCAGACUCCUACGGGAGGCAGCAGUGGGGAAUAUUGGACAAUGGGCGAAAGCCUGAUCCAGCAAUGCCGCGUGAGUGAUGAAGGCCUUAGGGUUGUAAAGCUCUUUUACCCGGGAUGAUAAUGACAGUACCGGGAGAAUAAGCUCCGGCUAACUCCGUGCCAGCAGCCGCGGUAAU